rnacentral:lncRNA from 1 species
AUCCGCGCGGCUGCUCGUCCGGGGCCCAGCCGAGGCUAGCGGGUGCGCCGAUGGGAGAGAGCCCGCGGCCGCCGGUGCUGAGCAGCGCCAUGGAUCCGAGGGGAGAGGGUGCAGCUUUGCUUUCUUGGAGGAGGAAGGGUGCCGGGUGGGCGAGAGGAGUAGGGCGUGGGGGAUGCCAUGGACGGCGGCGUGCUCCGCCGGAGGGAGGUGGCGGCCGCGAUCUGGAAGGGAGGAGGUGGCGUGGUAGUCAGCGGCGGCUGCGUCGCUGCAGAAGCUGCAGAGGAGCACGGU